GAUGAACGCUAGCGGCAGGCCUAAUACAUGCAAGUCGAACGGUGUCUUCGGACAUAGUGGCGCACGGGUGCGUAACACGUAUGCAACCUACCUUACAUUGGGGGAUAGCCUUUCGAAAGGGAGAUUAAUACCGCAUAAGACAGUAGCUGGGCAUCCAGCAGCUGUUAAAGAUUUAUCGAUGUAAGCUGGGCAUGCGUCCAAUUAGCUAGUUGGUGAGGUAACGGCUCACCAAGGCAAUGAUUGGUAGGGGAACUGAGAGGUCAAUCCCCCACACUGGCAGUGAGAUACGGGCCAGACUCCUACGGGAGGCAGCAGUAGGGAAUAUUGGGCAAUGGACGCAAGUCCGACCCAGCCAUGCCGCGUGCAGGAUGAAGGCGUUAUGCGUUGUAAACUGCUUUUAUACAGGAAGAAACGACUCUUGCGAGAGGCAUUGACGGUACUGUAUGAAUAAGCACCGGCUAACUCCGUGCCAGCAGCCGCCGUAACAC
rnacentral:rRNA from 1 species